rnacentral:rRNA from 1 species
UUAAGCGUGCUUGGGCGAGAGUAGUACUAGGAUGGGUGACCUCCUGGGAAGUCCUCGUGUUGCACCCCU